AUAUAUGAAACUAUUAUAAUAUAAGAAAGAAAAGAAAAUGUAUUAAUAUUUUUAAAAUAUAAAUACAUUUCUUUUCUUUUAAUGUACUUUUUUUAUAAAAAGUAAUAAUAUUUUAUAUAUUGUUACUAAUUUAUAAAAAUUGUACGAAAAUUUGGUAUUACAUAUAAAGUAAUUUAUAUUUUAUAAAAUAAUUUAUGUAAUAUCAAAUUUUCACCAACAAUAUUGAAUACUCAAAAUUUUACAUAAUUAUUUGUUUUAUUAUUUAUAUAUAUAUAUAUAUAUAUAAUAAUAUCUUUAUGAGUUAUUUAUAUUUUGAAGAAAAAUAUAUAUUUCUUUAUAUUAUAUUAUUAUAAGUGUAUAUAUAUGUAAUUCUUUUAAGUAUAAUAAUGAAUA
rnacentral:rRNA from 1 species